GCCAGGUGUGGUGGUGGGCACCUGUAAUCCCAGCUACUCAGGAGGCUGAGGUAGGGAGGAUUGCUUGAGCCCAGGAGGUUGAGGUUGCAGUGAGCCUAGAUCACGCCACUGCAUUCCAGCCUGGGCAAUAGAGCAAGACUCUGUCUCAA
rfam:Pan troglodytes isolate Yerkes chimp pedigree #C0471 (Clint) chromosome 20, whole genome shotgun sequence.